CCCAGACUCCUACGGGAGGCAGCAGUGGGGGAUAUUGCACAAUGGGGGAAACCCUGAUGCAGCGACGCCGCGUGAGUGAAGAAGUAUUUCGGUAUGUAAAGCUCUAUCAGCAGGGACGAAAAUGACGGUACCUGAGUAAGAAGCCCCGGCUAACUACGUGCCAGCAGCCGCGGUAAUACGUAGGGGGCAAGCGUUAUCCGGAAUUACUGGGUGUAAAGGGAGCGUAGACGGUGAAGUAAGUCUGGAGUGAAAGGCGGGGGCCCAACCCCCGGACUGCUCUGGAAACUAUUUGACUGGAGUGCAGGAGAGGUAAGCGGAAUUCCUAGUGUAGCGGUGAAAUGCGUAGAUAUUAGGAGGAACGCCAGUGGCGAAGGCGGCUUACUGGACUGUAACUGACGUUGAGGCUCGAAAGCGUGGGGAGCAAACAGGAUUAGAUACCCCAGUAAG
rnacentral:rRNA from 1 species